GACGAACGCUGGCGGCGUGCCUAAUACAUGCAAGUAGAACGCUGAAGAGAGGAGCUUGCUCUUCUUGGAUGAGUUGCGAACGGGUGAGUAACGCGUAGGUAACCUGCCUUGUAGCGGGGGAUAACUAUUGGAAACGAUAGCUAAUACCGCAUAACAAUGGAUGACACAUGUCAUUUAUUUGAAAGGGGCAAUUGCUCCACUACAAGAUGGACCUGCGUUGUAUUAGCUAGUAGGUGAGGUAAUGGCUCACCUAGGCGACGAUACAUAGCCGACCUGAGAGGGUGAACGGCCACACUGGGACUGAGACACGGCCCAGACUCCUACGGGAGGCAGCAGUAGGGAAUCUUCGGCAAUGGGGGCAACCCUGACCGAGCAACGCCGCGUGAGUGAAGAAGGUUUUCGGAUCGUAAAGCUCUGUUGUAAGUCAAGAACGGGUGUGAGAGUGGAAAGUUCACACUGUGACGGUAGCUUACCAGAAAGGGACGGCUAACUACGUG
rnacentral:rRNA from 1 species